GGGAUUGCCCUAGUAACGGCGAGUGAAGCGGCAACAGCUCAAAUUUGAAAUCUGGCGCGAGCCCGAGUUGUAAUUUGUAGAGGAUGCUUCGGGGCAGCGGCCGGUCUAAGUCUCUUGGAACGGGGCGUCAUAGAGGGUGAGAACCCCGUAUGCGACCGGUUGGCACCCGUCACGUAGCUCCUUCGACGAGUCGAGUUGUUUGGGAAUGCAGCUCUAAAUGGGAGGUAAAUUUCUUCUAAAGCUAAAUACCGGCCAGAGACCGAUAGCGCACAAGUAGAGUGAUCGAAAGAUGAAAAGCACUUUGGAAAGAGAGUUAAAAAGCACGUGAAAUUGUUGAAAGGGAAGCGCAUGCAACCAGACUUGUCGGCGGUGUUCCGCCGGUCUUCUGACCGGUCCAUUCGCCGCCGGCAGGCCAGCAUCAUCUGGGCGCGCCGGACAAAGGCGUGGGGAAUGUAGCUCCUCGGAGUGUUAUAGCCCUGCGCACAAUACGGCGCCGCCUGGGUGAGGUCCGCGCUUCGGCUGGGAUGCUGGCGUAAUGGUUGUCUGCGGCCCGUCUUGAAACACGGACCAAGGAGUCUAACAUCUAUGCGAGUGUUUGGGUGUCAAACCCUGACGCGUAAUGAAAGUGAACGGAGGUGGGAAGCGCGAGCUGCACCAUCGACCGAUCCUGAUGUCUUCGGAUGGAUUUGAGUAAGAGCAUAGCUGUUGGGACCCGAAAGAUGGUGAACUAUGCCUGGAUAGGGUGAAGCCAGAGGAAACUCUGGUGGAGGCUCGCAGCGGUUCUGACGUGCAAAUCGAUCGUCAAAUUUGGGUAUAGGGGCG
rnacentral:rRNA from 1 species